rnacentral:rRNA from 1 species
UAGUGAAACCGCGAAUGGCUCAUUAAAACGGUUACGAUUCACAUGACCGUUCCCAACCACUUGGAUAACUGUGGUAAUUCUAGAGCUAAUACAUGCAGCUGAGCUCCGAACGCAAGUGACGAGCGCUUUUAUUAGACAAGACCAGUCGGACCCGGUCCGCGACGAUGGUGACUCUGGAUAACUUUGUGCUGAUGGCACGGGCUCGUCCCGGCCACGCGUCUUUCAAGUGACUGAUCUAUCAACUGUCGACGGUGGAUUAAAAGCCCACCGUGGUUGUGACGGGUGACGGAGAAUAAGGGUUCGACUCCGGAGAGGGUGCCUGAGAAAUGGCAACCAGUUCUAAGGAAGGCAGCAGGCGCGCAAAUUGCUCUAUCGCGGCCCGCGGAAGCAGUGACGAAAAAUAACGAUACGGGACUCUUUUGAGACCCCGUAAUCGGAAUGAGAGAAAUUUAAACCUUUCAACGAUAAACAAAGACAGAACCAGUCCGGUGCCAGCACUCGCGGCAAUUCCGGCUGUCUUGGUGUAUAUUAAAGUUGUUGCGGUUAAAAAGCUCGUAGUUGGAUCUGUGUUGCGGGGCUUCGACCCGCCUCGCGGCGGUCAUCGUCGUCCCCGAACAAUUCGCCGGUCUCCCUAGAUGAUCUUCGCCGGUUGUCUCUGGUGGCCGGCACCUUUACUUUGAAAAAAUUGGAGUGCUCAGAGCAGGCGCGACGCCUGGACAAUGGUGCAUGGAAUAAUGGAAUAGGAUCUCGGUUCUGUUCCGUUGGUUUUCUGAACACGAGAUAAUGAUUAAGAGGGACAGACGGGGCCAUUCGUACUCGGUGGUGAGGGGUGAAAUCCGUUGAUCCAUUGAAGACGAACGAAGGCGAAAGCAUUUGGCAAGAAUGUUUCCGUUAAUCAAGAACGAAAGUUGGGUGAUCGAAGGCGAUCAGAUACCGCCCUAGUCCCAACCAUAAACGAUGCCAACCAGCGAUCCGCCUGAGUUCCUCAAACGACUCGGCGGGCAGCUCCCGGGAAACCAGA